GACGAACGCUGGCGGCGUGCUUAACACAUGCAAGUCGAACGGAAAGGCCCUGCUUUUGUGGGGUGCUCGAGUGGCGAACGGGUGAGUAACACGUGAGUAACCUGCCCUUGACUUUGGGAUAACUUCAGUAAACUGGGGCUAAUACCGGAUAGGAGCUCCUGCUGCAUGGUGGGGGUGGGAAAGUUUCGGCGGUUGGGGAUGGACUCGCGGCUUAUCAGCUUGUUGGUGGGGUAGUGGAGUACCAAGGCUUUGACGGGUAGCCAGCCUGAGAGGGUGACAGGCCACAUUGGGACUGAGAUACGGCCCAGACUCCUACGGGAGGCAGCAGUGGGGAAUAUUGCACACUGGGCGGAAGCCUGAUGCAGCAACGCCGCGUGCGGGAUGACGGCCUUCGGGUUGUAAACCGCUUUCGCCUGUGACGCAGCGUGAGUGACGGUAAUGGGUAAAGAAGCACCGGCUAACUACGUG
rnacentral:rRNA from 1 species